CACGAUAUCAAACUUUUGGUCUCGCCCUCUCCGUUUCGCAGCUCCUCGAUCCAUCUCGAUCGUCUGCUAAAACCCUAGGGAAGAAUUAGGGAACAGCGCCCCGGUUUGUCUCGGCCCGAUCGUCCCGAAUCUUCGAUCGGUGCUGGUUUUACUGUAUUGAUAUAGAACAUGAGCACCCUUGGACCAUCAAGGCAGGGUUCAAAGAGGCACGCGAGGGAUGGUAUCCACGCUAAGAUGGUUCCGAAUUUGGAUCUGAACUUUCCUCCGGUGGAGUGCCAGCAGUGUGAUGGCACUUCUGGCUCUAGACAUCCACAGAUUUCUCGAGGAACAUCUUUUUCCGCUGUUCCUCAUCCCAGCCCUGCUAGUGAACAGCAGCAAGGGUCCUCUGCACCAUCAAGUGACCGUUCACACAGUGAUUUUAUUGAUCUAGAAUUGAUGGAGGAUGAGGUCGUGACUCUUUCUUCCUCGAGAGGGCUACCCCUGGGGAGGAAUCACUUCAGAAGGAACCAGCCUGUGACAAUGAUCCUAGAGGAAGACCUGGAAACAAAUUUGAGACAACCAGUCAUUAUUGUAGAGGAACAAGUGGCAAAAUCACCUAUGAACACUCGUAAUAAGCGGGCUAGAAGUUCGAUGAGCAGGACAGCUAUUGAUUGUGAUCAUUAUCCUGAUUUGGAAGAGGAGCAUAAUGCCAAGAAUCUUCUCAUGGUAAUAUGAAUCUUGAGAAGCUCCAUUGUUGGAAUAUCAUGUGACAGUUGAUUAAUUGAAGGACUGGAAACUCUAUCAGCAUCAUUUUGGGUGGUUGGUGUUUCUGAUCAAUAUAUUGCAUGGUUGAAGGAAUUUGGUGCAGCAGUAUCAUAGACCAUGUUGAACGAUAAGAGUAGCAUGUUAGAAAGGAGAAAGAAUGUGAUUAAAUCCAAACCGGAGCCUGUUAAGGUACUUACACGGGAACCCAUCUUCACCUGCCCUGUCUGCAUGGAUGUAUUGGUUGAGCCAGCAUCAACUAUUUGUGGUCAUAUUUUCUGUCUAAAAUGCAUAAAAGCCUCCGUUCAGGCACAGAAGAAAUGCCCAACUUGUAGGAGGCAACUUACCAUGAAAAGUUUUCAUCGUGUGUAUUUUCCAUCAUCCAAGUAGUGCAAGUUCAGGUGUAGUUUUCUUGUGCUGCAAGAGCAUCCUACUAAUCCCAUUUAUGUGUUCCUGAAUUCUUACUUGAUGGUUUUACAUGUUUGAUUAUUAGAUCAUGUCCAAUUAAGUUCAA